rnacentral:rRNA from 1 species
GAUGAACGCUGGCGGCGUGCCUAAUACAUGCAAGUCGAGCGAAUGGAUUAAGAGCUUGCUCUUAUGAAGUUAGCGGCGGACGGGUGAGUAACACGUGGGUAACCUGCCCAUAAGACUGGGAUAACUCCGGGAAACCGGGGCUAAUACCGGAUAACAUUUUGAACCGCAUGGUUCGAAAUUGAAAGGCGGCUUCGGCUGUCACUUAUGGAUGGACCCGCGUCGCAUUAGCUAGUUGGUGAGGUAACGGCUCACCAAGGCAACGAUGCGUAGCCGACCUGAGAGGGUGAUCGGCCACACUGGGACUGAGACACGGCCCAGACUCCUACGGGAGGCAGCAGUAGGGAAUCUUCCGCAAUGGACGAAAGUCUGACGGAGCAACUCCGCGUGAGUGAUGAAGGCUUUCGGGUCGUAAAACUCUGUUGUUAGGGAAGAGCAAGUGCAAGUUGAAUAAGCUGGCACCUUGACGGUACCUAACCAGAAAGCCACGGCUAACUACGUGCCAGCAGCCGCCGUAA